AUCUACAAGGAAUCUAUCGACCUUGAUAGAUGAGGAGUGAUCCUAUGUGAUUUAUUAGACUGAGUUCUAAGACCUUGGCCAGGGCACAAUAUAUAGUGGAAAAGAGUUUUCUACUCUCGAACUCAAGUCGAAUAAAUCUAGACAUAUGACAGACAACGAGGUUUGACGAGUUAUCCAUGACCUCCGGUCUGUAGGGAUCCACGAUAGAAGGACUGUAUCACAUGACAAUUGCACCUAGAGGUUCAUCAUUCCAUUCUGCUGGGUGGCCACUACAUGCUGCUAGGUGUCACUGGUGGAUGGUGGGACUUAUAGGGAUUCUCUCGAUGAUCGAUAAACCCUAAUGAGUUGAGUUGGAAUCGUUCCAACCCAUUGAAAGGAGUUUUCAAUGAUAUUAUGAUAGAGAUCACAAUAUAUCUCACUACCAGUCAGAAUAGAACCUAUGGGGUCACACACACUAGAAGUAUUGACCGAUCCGAUGGUUG
rnacentral:lncRNA from 1 species